GCAUCACAACGGCUUCCUGACGUGAUGCGUUAUUUCAUACUGGAGCA
rnacentral:ncRNA from 1 species